AAAAAUACAAAAAUUAGCCGGGUGUGGUGGUGGGGUGUAAUCCCAGCUACUCAGGAAGCUGAGGCCGGGGAAUCACUCGAAUCCGGGAGGCGGUGGCUACAGUGAGCCGAGAUCAUUGCGCCACUGCACUCCAGCCUGGGCGACAGAGCGAGACUCUGUC